UAACAUCUGGGAGAGCUUGCUCUUCCAGGAUGACGACCGGCGCACGGGUGAGUAACGCGUAUCCAACCUGGCCCAUACCACGGGAUAGCCCGUCGAAAGGCGGAUUAAUACCGUAUGCUGUCAUUAAGAGGCAUUUUUGAUGACGAAAGGACUGGCGGUAUGGGAUGGGGAUGCGUCUGAUUAGCUUGUUGGCGGGUAACGGCCACCAAGGCGACGAUCAGUAGGGGUUCUGAGAGGAAGGUCCCCACAUUGGAACUGAGACACGGUCCAAACUCC
rnacentral:rRNA from 1 species